AAAAAUCAUACAGAAAGUGUGAAUCAAUUUCAAUAAAUAAUGAAGAAUUUCAGUAUUUUGUCCCUACUUUCUAUUGCUCUUCUAUUGAGCUUCUCAGCUCCUUCUCUUGGUAUGAAUUUCUUUACUUCUUAGCAUUAAUCAUUUUGAUUUGAUUAUGCACAAAUUUUAAUUCCAUUGUCUGUGUGACCUUGUUUACCCUAAAAAAAAAAGUAUAAUUUAAUUUAUAACGUGGUUUAUAAACACGUGAAUUAAAUUAAUUCGGGAAAAUAAUUCCAUUGUCUACUUUGUGCUCAAUCAACUGCACCUUUUUUGAGGGUAAACAAACCUAUAAGUCACGAGUUCGAGCCUGGUCACGGAUUCGAUCGAGCCGUUGAAUCAGUCAUUGAUGCUUCCAUCAGGGUAGGAUAUCUACAUUAUACCCCCUUGGGGUGUGGCCUUUCUCCGGACCUUGCGUAACACGGGAUACUUUAUGCACCAGACUGUCUUUUAUUUUUUAAAAUUGUCAUGAUAUAAAGGCUAAUUUAUUCUUUUUUUUGGUUUGGUCUUAAAAUUUUAGGGCAACCACCAAAAUUAUGUCCAACGAGCUUCCCAGUGGACGAUAAGUGUGGCAAUUUCAGUUGCGCUUUAGAAGCCAUAAAAAAAUAUCCAGCUAGUGAAAUGCCCCAAAAAUGCGGUUGUAGUUCACAAGGGAGUGGCAGCAUAUGCUCCUGCUUUAUAGUUUGUCAACCUCCAAAAUAAAUGCAAUUAUAUUAGCAAGUUUAUGAGUAUAAUGUUCUGGGAAUUAUUUUGAUAAACUCUCUGGAGUAUAUUCACCGACAAAUAAAAGAGUAAAGUUUGUAG
rnacentral:lncRNA from 1 species